UACGUAGGUGGCAAGCGUUGUUCGGAAUUAUUGGGCGUAAAGGGCGCGUAGCGGUCUUGUAAGUCAGCUGUGAAAGCCCGGGGCUCAACCCCGGAGGGUCGGCUGAUACUGCAGGACUGGAGUACGGAAGAGGUAGCUGGAAUUCCCGGUGUAGCGGUGAAAUGCGUAGAUAUCAAGCGGAACACCAGUGGCGAAGGCGAGUCCCUGGACGACUCCUGACACUGAGGCACGAAAGCUAGGGGAGCAAACAGG
rnacentral:rRNA from 1 species